rnacentral:lncRNA from 1 species
UCGUCCUCUGAUUGUCGAGCCGGAGGGGCGGGUCUCCCUUUUUGUCCCCACUUUGGGUUAGAGGCCCUCGCCGAGGCUGAGUCCCUUCACUUGGACGCCAGGGGCACAGCCUCCAUCCAACCCAGCUCUGUGGGUUGGAGGUCUUGGCCGGAGACCGGAGCAAUGUCUGUGUUGUCCCCACAGUAGACACUCCUUGCUUCCUCUGGACAACUGGAGCAGGCCUAGUUUGACUGACAAGCCUUCCCACUAAGAAGUGAAUUUUCCCCACUGGCAAACGCAGCCAGUCAGUCUCCUGAGUCAAGAGCCAAGCCAAAAGACACCCCAGAGAAGAAACCUGGGGUCCUGCAAAGCUGUGGUCUCGAAAUUGAUCUCACUGGUCCCGGGAACUCCCAUCACCUCCUCCAGACUGAGCUCCUCACAGGCGGGAACAUGGUUGUUUCUCAAUAAACAAGUUGAAAAAGGAACGAAUGAGUCGCUGAACAUUUGUCUAUGGGGCCCUUGAUCCGGGAACAAGAGGGGCUUCUCCCGAACAGCUGGAGGUUGAUUCAGGUUUCCACCCACCCAGUCCCUGUUGUCCUUUGAGUUUCCACGGGCGGUCGCUGCUGCCCCCUGGUGGUGUAGCCGUGUAUUGCGUCUCCUGGAGGAAUGGGGAGGGGGCUGGGAAGCAAAAACCGAGGUUGGUAGUUUACUCCACAGAGUAAAAUUUUCUUGAUGUUUGCCAAGAACUUGAAAAUCGGGAAUCUGCAUUGUGAGGCCCAGGGCAAGAAGACCCCUGAGCCUUGCCAACACUUCUUUGAAGAAAUGAAGUUCCGCUAGUAGGAGGGUCCUACUGGCCUGGUUUUAGAAGUGGACCCUCAACACACAGUAGCAGGAAAAGGAUGGGUCACAGUGACACGAGCCAGCUGUCCUGCUAGUACUUGCCUCUAUUAUGCUCUUAGCUAAAAGCUAUUUGAAUGGGGACGGACGAGAGUGC